GACAGAGGGUGCAAACGUUGUUCGGAAUUACUGGGCGUAAAGCGCGCGCAGGCGGCUAUCCAAGUCAGUGGUGAAAGCCCGGAGCUCAACUCCGGAACUGCCAUUGAAACUGUUUAGCUUGAGGACGAGAGAGGUGAGUGGAAUUCCCAGUGUAGAGGUGAAAUUCGUAGAUAUUGGGAAGAACACCGGUGGCGAAGGCGGCUCACUGGCUCGUAUCUGACGCUCAGGCGCGACAGCGUGGGGAUCAAACAGG
rnacentral:rRNA from 1 species